rnacentral:rRNA from 1 species
GCUUAUGGCCAUACCAGCCUGAAUGCGCCGGAUCUCGUCAGAUCUCGGAAGCUAAGCAGGGUCGGGCCUGGUUAGUACUUGGAUGCGAGACUGCCUGGGAAUACCCGGUGCUGUAAGCA